rnacentral:rRNA from 1 species
GACGGAGGAUGCAAGUGUUAUCCGGAAUCACUGGGCGUAAAGCGUCUGUAGGUGGUCAAAUAAGUCAACUGUUAAAUCUUGAGGCUCAACCUCAAAAUCGCAGUCGAAACUAUUAGACUAGAGUAUAGUAGGGGUAAAGGGAAUUUCCAGUGGAGCGGUGAAAUGCGUAGAGAUUGGAAAGAACACCAAUGGCGAAGGCAGCCCCCUGGGAUAACACUGACGCUCAUGCACGAAAGCGUGGGGAGCAAACAGG